rnacentral:rRNA from 1 species
UACGUAGGGACCAAGCGUUGUUCGGAUUUACUGGGCGUAAAGGGCGCGUAGGCGGCCUCCGCAAGUCAAUUGUGAAAUCUCCGGGCUUAACUCGGAAAGGUCAACUGAUACUGCGGGGCUAGAGUGCGGAAGGGGCAACUGGAAUUCUUGGUGUAGCGGUGAAAUGCGUAGAUAUCAAGAGGAACACCUGCGGCGAAGGCGGGUUGCUGGGCCGACACUGACGCUGAGGCGCGAAAGCUAGGGGAGCGAACGGG